UUAUUAACUGGAUAAAGUUGGAUUUUUGCUUGGUUGGAUACGGGUGAUAGACUUACAGAGUGUACUCAAUCGUAUAUUUGGCUCAUAUCAGAUCAUCUAAACCUUCAUCUUAAUUGUUAAGCUUGAAUGUUUGGAACUUUAUAUUAUCUAUGACUCUUUUCAUUUGGUUUCUAACAAACUUAGAUUAGUGAUGGAUUUGUUGCAGAUACCCGUCAAGUGAAAUUAGAGAUUUAUCGACCAUGAGGAAGUACUUUUGCUCUUGAACUAAUAACCAUCAAGAUAAAUCCUAUGUCGUGCUCAGGGGUGUGUUGUACUUCACAGACACGGGGCUCAGAGAAAAAGAAAAGAGUAUUGUAAGACUUAUACUCGAUAAAACUAGUACGAGAAUGAAAAGCCUUGGAAUGAGAGGUGUGACCUUGAAUUCCCCUGCACAUCUGAUGCAAUAAAUUUGGUCAGCUUAGAUUGGAAGUAUAUUGGUAGAAGGAUCAACUAUGACUUGUACUCCUCAAACAGUUGAUAUACCGAGGAAAGCUGAUGUUCUUAUUGUUCCUGGCUGCUGGCACUGGAGGGGUGUAUGGUAACUAUCUAAUGAGAUUUUAUCUUUGAUUUAUCUAACUUUAAUGUACUAAAAUGCGACGGGAAAGAUAAUUGACUACUAGUUUUACAAUUGGUAUAAUGGAUUUGUAUGUGUUGAUCCUAGGGAUGCUGUGUAUGGUAAGAAAUUCAAUAUGUUGCCUGGAAAGCUAACAACG